rnacentral:lncRNA from 1 species
AUGUGUAUCAAAAGACACUAUUGUAAGUGUAUGUGUUAUGGGGACUGGUGGGGUUUGACACUGGUGGGGUUUGACACUGGUGGUUCAGUUUGCCCUGUUAAUGUGAACCAGGCCUCUCUCACACAACUUUCUGCCUCCCAUUUCACUGUGUGUGUGUGUGUGUGUGUGUGUGUGUGUGUGUGUGUGUGUGUGUGUGUGUGUGUGUGUGUGUGUGUGUGUGUGUGUGUGUGUGUGUGUGUGUGUGUGUGUGUGUGUGUGUGUGUGUGUGUGUGUGUGUGUGUGUGUGCGUUCCAGAUGGAGGUGGUGGAGAUAGCUCUGGACCAGUGUGGCCCGUCCAGCGAGAGGAAGAUCGCAGUCAUAGACAAGAACCGUGACCUGUACCUGACCGCUGUGCAUCGCAUCAACAGAGAACACAACAUCUGCAAGAUAGGUCCACACCAUGUCCUAGAAUGACUCCGCUAACAUCCUGUGUGGUAUUCAGGACACACAGUUCACUGUGUGGCACUAUCCCGGUGCGGUCUUCUAGCCAGCGGACCUGCUGGCUAAAACACUCUACAUGAAAGACGCCAGGUAACAUGAGCGCACACACACACACACACACACACACACACACACACACACAGAGAGAAAUCAGUUCCCCAUUAUCGGAAAUAAAAGGUACUGCAUCAUCUGAAAUGUUUUCAUGUUGUGGUAAAGCUGUUUAAAAGAGAUUCCUGAGUGGCUGCCCCCAGAAUGUAUUUUUAUAUCUGUCGGUCUGUCCCCCUCCACAGUGAGUUCAGCCGUGCGGCCCACAUCCUGAACUAUGUGGGGACCCAGGUGACGGCUCGUUGGUGUACAGCAGCUUACCUACACCACCGUGCUGCAUGAGUACAGCGCCUCCUUUCGCUGGGAGGACGCACUGCGCCUCUGCCGCUUUGCCAAGGUAACACACACCUGACAGAUUCUCGUGGGGACAUUCUAUGGUGACUCCCUGGUCCGGUGCAGAAUGAGUCUGAUCUGUAUAGAGCAGAGCACACAUCAUAUUCAACACCAAAUACUGUACAAAACACAUCUUUAAAAAACAUUAUGUUGAAAAUAGAAUAAUGGU